AGAUGUGUGCUCUUCUGUUGUAAACAAACAAGUUAAGGGCAAGAUUCUUGCCAAGAGAAUUAAUGUACACGUUGAGCAUGUUAAACACUCAAAGAGCCGAGAUAGCUUC